GGGGGGGGGGGGGGGGGGGCGGGGGGGGGGGGGGUCGGGGGGGGAGGGGCUGGGGGGGGGGUGCUCGCGGAGCGGAGGGAUCCUUAGCAGGGGGGGGAGCUGCCCCUUACUGUGGGAUGAGCCAGGGACACUGGGUCUAGGACUGGGGAUGCACAUGCUUUAGGGUUUCUGGUUUGCAUGUUAGGGUCGGGCAGGUAUGAGUUCGCGGCCUGCCAUCGUGUUUGUUGGGCAAUGGCCUACCAAGGCGUCGACGGGUCGCAGGCCUGAGAGGGUGGACGGCCACAUUGGGACUGAGAUACGGACCAGACUCCUACGGGAGGCAGCAGUGGGGAAUAUUGCACAAUAGGCGCAAGCCUGAUGCAGCGACGCCGCGUGGGGGAUGACGGCCUUCGGGUUGUAAACUCCUUUCAGCCAUGACGAAGCCCUUGUGGUGACGGUAGUGGUAGAAGAAGCACCGGCUAACUACGUG
rnacentral:rRNA from 1 species